UACGUAGGGUGCGAGCGUUGUCCGGAAUUAUUGGGCGUAAAGGGCUCGUAGGCGGUCUGUUGCGUCAGGAGUGAAAACUCGGGGCUUAACCCCGAGCCUGCUUCUGAUACGGGCAGACUAGAGGUAUGCAGGGGAGAACGGAAUUCCUGGUGUAGCGGUGAAAUGCGCAGAUAUCAGGAGGAACACCGGUGGCGAAGGCGCUCAUCUGGCCCAAUACUGACGCUGAGGCGCGAAAGCUAGGGGAGCAAACGGG
rnacentral:rRNA from 1 species